AGCUCACAUACCUCUUCCCAUUCCCUGGCAUGUACAGAAACCCCGGGAGCUACCAGGAACCUUUAGUGUCUCAUCUGCCAUUGUACUCAGGGAAGUUCAAGGUACAACUUUCCUCUGAGCCAAGGACGGCGUCGUAAUUAUACCUCAGAGGAAGCAAAGACUAUUCUGGGGAGCUGGCAGCCUUCUGCAGGCAUUCAUGACAAAUAACUGCAGUGCCAUGAGAUCAACGAGACAAAAUAAGAACAGGCUUUCACAAUAAAAACACCCGCUCAUUAAAAAUGCAAUACAAAAACCGCUAUCCAACAAAUACCCACACCUGUUUGGAGUACGACUUCGGUCGCCAUGUGAGCAGAAUGUGAACAACACCCAAAUCACCACCCUCCUCCCGGACCGACUGCGACUGCGACUGCGGCACGGAGCAGGUACACGGAGAGUCGUUCUAUUCCCGUUACGUGUUGGUCUCCUGCUGACACAGGAUUUCACACACAGAGCUGCUGAAUUAACUUUAAAUUAAAGGGGGGCUUUUUAAUUAGCCGUACUGCCACGGGGCAGGGCACAGCGCAUUAUCAGAAUGAUAAUUACUAUUGAGGAAGACUGUAAAUAAAUUGUGUGGAUCUACUGAAAGGAGGUUAAUCUGCUAAUACAAUGACUGGCGUUCUCGAUAACAGUGGGGGCGCAUAAGGCUGCAGAGGGACACGGAGGAUUGGCGUGGAUUCACUAAGCAGGCGAAGGUCGUCCUCAAAACCACACGUCUCAGAUUCACGGCUUUUGGACCGACGGUCUCCAUGACAACCAGCCAUCCUCUGCAGCCGUUUAAGGUCAAGGUCGGCAUGGAAACCUGUGAGGGCACCUGCGGCGGUGCCCCCCUCCCCCCACACAUCCCUGGGGGGGGUGUUUCUGUCGUGAAGGGCAUUGCUCUCCUGUUUCACAGUGGUGAUGGCCGUGGCAUUCAGUCACCGCACCUCCCUUGCCAGCGGGCAAAUCCCAGCCUGCCAAGCGGGAGACUUUCCGGGACACGGACAGGCUGCCUGGCGACUCACAGGGGAGGGCGGCUCUCGGACGGAGCUUAAGCGCUCAGCUCCACCUUUAUUCGUGCUGGCCGCAGGGGCCGAGCGGGCUUCAGACGUGACGGGGUCAUUUCACUCACUGCAGGCGCCUGGAAGCGUGCUGAUGUCAGGAUGACGGAAGGAAAUAACAAAGAAAGUAGGCCAGAACACGGAGGAUGACCCAGAGGUACCGCACAGGACAGGACAGACGUCAGGCCGUGCCAUCAAGGGCACAGAGAGAGGCACUUAGGGCCCUGGUAAUGGGUAAUACAGCAUUCCUCAAUACUAAUGAAGCUGUGAAAUCUUAACCAGAAGCAGCAUUUCAAAGACUGUACGCUGACAUAACCCCAACCCAGCUCCAGUGCUGUAACGCAAGAAUGCUGAAAUAUUUGAAAAGUAUACCACUGGGCAAUCCGGGUUUAAAAUAGGCCACGUAUAAAGCGAGUGGAACCCAGACUCCUUAGAUAAUUAUGGCCGAGGAGCUUCCUGCCAGCGGCGAAAGAUGAGUUAGCGAGCUCUUGCUAACCGCGCUGUACGGCCCGCGGUGCCGACAUGACACACGCCGGCCUGAGAGUCCAUCAGUCCAGCCAUAAGGAGCAAGCCGAACCAGAAGUAUCUUCACAGCCAGACCCCUCGCUCUUCUGCUGCAAGAGGCACCUCGAGACGCCAUGACUGCCGAAAGAGCCUUGAAUGGAGUGGCACUGCAUACGGACCGCACUGCCACCACAUCCAUCCAGCUGUCUGCAGAGCUCUGGGCCGAGCCAGAGCAGACUGUGCAGGUCUGACCCACGGUGAAGGUCAGGCGAGGUAGAGCGCUGGCACACGCCCAGCGGCACUGGUGUGGCGAGCAUACAGAUGGACACGCUGCCACCCGUGGAUUUAUCGAGCGUGUUUUCUGCCAAAGAAAGAGGGGAAGCGGAAAAGGCCGAGUUCUGAUACCUUAACGGGGGGGUGGAGAGGUAGUGCUACGUCCUUGACAUCAGGGACAAAUCACAACAGCAGCAAAAGCAACAUUGUGCCCCCCCUCCCAUUCCUAGGGAAUGUUGCAGGGAGAACAUGCUAACCCCGCAAAGCUAUCAUGUGACAUCUCUUAGGGCUGUGAGUGGUACUCCUGCUGAGAACCGACCAAUCGCACAAGGGGGGAGGGAGUCCCUUAGUGAUCCAAGGGGCAGGUUGCACACCUGCGAUGGAAAAACAGCUAGAAGCACAAUGGGGUUUUUUUUUUGGAUGAUGGACGACUACAGUGUGGUUCUGUUACUAAGCGUAGCCAUCAGGACUAGAUAAGAGCAGAGUGCAACUCGCUUCCCAUAACUCAUCAGGAAAGUUAUAUCAUUUAAAGAAUUAUUAUCGUUUCCUCUGCUAUAGCCCAGCACAAAAUCUGAGUUGAGUGUCAAUGUGAGCAACCCCAGCUGUUGGUGGCUAACAAUCAUACUACAUAAAGCACCAUGAUGCUCAGGAGAUUCAAGGAUGAACUCUAACCUUCCAUGUUCCGUUAUCAGAUCUGAGGUAAUGCACUCCAAACAUCUAAGCACAGACCUACACGGAAAUCGUAGAAAGACAACGGAUAUACUGCAUGGAGACCAUGGUGGCAUCACCGAGGGAUCCCGGGAAAAUGAUUUUGAGAUGUCAAAGCUGGCCAAUAGGGCAGGAUGGCAAGUCAUGUGACUGCGUCCAUGACAGCUGACUCAGAGAAAAGCCCGAUGAUUGGACGGGGAACUCGAGGUCAUCGUCUAAGUGGGGAGAAUAAAACACUGCUUGCCGUUCAACAGA